rnacentral:rRNA from 1 species
UGCAAGUUGAACGAAGCGCUUAAAUGGAUUUCUUCGGAUUGAAGUUUUUGUGACUGAGUGGCGGACGGGUGAGUAACGCGUGGGUAACCUGCCUCAUACAGGGGGAUAACAGUUAGAAAUGACUGCUAAUACCGCAUAAGCGCACAGUGCUGCAUGGCACAGUGUGAAAAACUCCGGUGGUAUGAGAUGGACCCGCGUCUGAUUAGCUAGUUGGUGGGGUAACGGCCUACCAAGGCGACGAUCAGUAGCCGGCCUGAGAGGGUGAACGGCCACAUUGGGACUGAGACACGGCCCAAACUCCUACGGGAGGCAGCAGUGGGGAAUAUUGCACAAUGGGGGAAACCCUGAUGCAGCGACGCCGCGUGAGCGAAGAAGUAUUUCGGUAUGUAAAGCUCUAUCAGCAGGGAAGAAAAUGACGGUACCUGACUAAGAAGCACCGGCUAAAUACGUGCCAGCAGCCGCGGU